GGACUGCCUGCAAAGACUGACAUUUAUUUACUUUCAUGGGACAUUCUACCCUAGUCUACUUCUCUUCUUUGUUACAUGCCUGGCUGGGAGACAUUAUAGUUGGUUACUUAAAAAAAAAAAAAAAAAAAAAAAAAGGAGAAACUGGACCUCUAUGGGCUAGCCUGAGGAUCAAUCAGUUGCUAUUAGUUCACUGGAGAAACGAAUUCAAACUUUUUAAGAGUAGACCUUUUUAAUAUCCAUAAUGCAAAUCUGAGAAUGCUUAUAGGAUACUAAGCUGGCAAAUCUGUCUGAAGUGUUGGCCCAUUUCCUGUACUUCUAUACUGUGUGUUAGUUUAGCACUUAGUAGGUACUUCACGAAUGUUUUACCUCCUGAGGUCACAGUAAUUUGUCUGCAUCCAGGUUCUUAGUGGAAAUGCCUACCACAUUUUGUACCUAGCUAGCUACUUCCACAGGAGACCAGAUUUGUGUGCAGUUUAUGUGAAAUACUUAACUCAGGCUCCAAAUGUUCCAAGUGUGUGUUAGCUUCUUGCACAGCUCCCUGUUUUCCCUAAGACCCAAUCUUCCCAAGAUGGGCCUGAUAGGAGAACAAAAAGGCAGGAACCCUACUUUUGCCUAUUAAUGUGGCUAAUGGAGUUUGUGACCAGUACAGAGUACAUGCAGUCCACACUUUGGACAAGGAUAGGUCAAAGUUUAGCUCCCUCCCUUUAAAGAAAAAGAAAGCAUUGUGGGGGGUGCAUUUUGAAAUUUUGACCCAUAUCCUUUGGAGGCCUAGGAGAGCUCACUGUGUCCAGAGAAUUUUAGUUCCCAAGGCCUAUAAUUGUUGAAAAGCUAGGGAAACUGGCACUAUUGGGGUAGGAGCUGAUACCCUGCCUUUUCAGGUUCCCAGGCAGGCCUCUAGUAUCCUGUCCUUGCUCAGGAGUUAUCUUUACCCCUGAAAUCAAAUACUACACAUAGCACCCUGUAAAACUGCUUCCUUGUAAGCUUCACCGAGCUUGCUAAGUAAACAUCCGCCCAUGCUUCUGGAACAGAAUUCAUUUCUGCUUCCUGGUCAUCUCUUGUUUUUCUGUUCUCAGUGCCCCACCGAAUCAUUUUAAUGGAAGAAAGACCUAGAAUUAGUCAGAGGCACCUAAGAUGAUUGCUUUAAUCUUAGUAAAAUUCUGAGGAGGAAGAAAAGUUUUCCUACAGAGUGUCACCAUACUUUGCAAGUCACCACUGCUGUCAUGGCCAUUUCUCUGUGAAGACUUUAGCACAGUCUUGCUGUGUUGCAGACCACAGUGGCCUCACUCCUCAAGUUCUAUGGCUAUGUUUGUCCCUACUUUAUUCCCAUGAAUCUCUUGCUUGUUUCUCAUGAUUUACCUCUUGUCACUUCUACCUACCAUGACAUUCCUAUUGCCAUGGCACUGAGUAGCCACAUCAUUCACCAAGUUCAUGAGAUUUUGAGCUCACUCUAUGCUGAUCCUACUUCCUUCUAGUUCCCCCUCCUGAAAGAGAAGGCUCCUUGGCAGAGCUCUUUGUUUAUUUGAUCCUGGGCUCAUGGGUAAAUCUGGAAUGUCCUGACAUGAACUUAGGCAUGUUUUUUGUUGUUGUUUUUGUUUGUCCCCCUCCCCCUGGAGAAGGAAACUGGAAAAUGGAGAUCUGAAUAAGCAGAGGACCAUUCUGGGGGCCUUGCCUUAAGUGACAUUAAAGCCAUAUGCCUUUGCUCAUCAGACCAGUAGGUGACUUCUUUAUUGGCAUACGCUACCCUGCAGCCCAGAAGGUGUAAAUUUGAAGCACUUUCCCCUCCCUGGGAUCCUGGCACAAAUGCCCUGGGCUUCUUUUAAAACCAGGGAAUACCAGGUUGUCUUCCAGGUGGUCCUUCUCUCUGAUGGCUGAAAUAUUAGCCAGGGUGGUUGUGUAAAGGCUGUAUAGGAUAGUUGGUAUAGAAGAGGUGGUUGCCUGACCUCUUGUUCAUCUUUCUGAAAGUUGCAAGAUGCAUUUUAUGAAUCAGCUUAUUGCCUCAGGACCCAAACACAUCUAAAACAUCUAGCUAGAGGCUGGUGUAGAAAACAUUUAUAUAUAUAAUAAGUUAUAUAUAUAAUAGUUGGAACAUGAGCCUUGUUGAAUGUGUCUGGUUAUGUAGGGUUCAUUGGGUUAGUAUCUGAGCUAUUCUUUGUAGCAUUGUCAGGAAAGGGGAUGUUAGAAGCUGUGCUUUGCUGCUAAGAGUUGUCACUACCCUAAAGUAACUUGUACCUGGCUCUGAAGCAUCAGUGGAACUUUCCUCAUAAGAGUUUCCAGGUAUGUGGAUGUGUUAAAGUAUUGCUCAAGGACUGGGGGUUCAUCUGGUUACCCAUCCUAGGGAAGAAACAGGUAUUGGCUAUGUUAGGUCUAGGCUUGGCCAUCAUUCUGUUGUCUUUUUUGUUGUCAGAAGGAUCUUGGGAAGAAAUGACUCAGCAACAAAUCUUAGAUGUGUGGCCUUCCUGCCUUUGGGGAAGUAAUUGAACAUACCUAACUAGAUUCUAAAAUUUUAAACACUGAAUGAAUAGACGUACAUUACUCUGGAUUUCUUCAGGCUGCUGUUUGGUUUAUUCUUUAAAAUACCUGAUCUGAUAGAAGGAUCUCAUUUGUGGAGUUAGCAAAAAAAAUGUUUUAAUUAUGCUUUUUAGCCUUAGGAAAUUCAGGAUUUAAAAGUCCUGAUUUCAUGCCCCAAAACAAAACAAACAAACAAGC
rnacentral:lncRNA from 1 species